CUAAUAUGACGUGGUCAUUAACUUACCAUGACGGUAAUUAAAUAAAACCGUCAUCGUAUUAUAAGUUCAUAAAUAAAUAAAAAAAACCGCCCAAUUUUCUCUCUCCACAUUAUCAGACGACGGUUUUCUCUUCAAACGUCGUAUUUAUUAACACACCACGUCGGUUAGUAUGAACAGUCGUGCUAUUGAAAUAGCACGAAUUUAAUUACCGUCGUGGUGUGUCAACAAAAACGUCAAAUUCGAGAAAAACUAGUCGUCCUCACAUGACCUGUGAGUGAUAACAAUGAAUGGUUUGGCAAUUUCAAACCACCUUCUUGUCUCAAACAUCAGUGGGACUCAUUCUUUUAAAAUAAAAAACUUCAACUGAUAAGGAAAGUAAAUAAGAAAAAAAAAAAGGAGUGAGAAAGUUUUCAAACCUUUGGCUUGCAAAGAAAGUUUUCUUUGGAAUCAAAUUUUGGAGAUGAAGACGAGGAAGAACGUAAAAGUUGAGAAUCAGAAACGCAGCUUUUCAGAAAUGAGAGGGAAAUUGUGAGAAAACUGAAAAUUUUAGAGAGAACGUAAAAGUUUAGGUCAGGUGACCAAAAAGUUUAUAUAGUGUCCCAAUGAUAAACACAACGACG
rnacentral:lncRNA from 1 species